CUGGAGUCAGCAAGGAAACAGGGCAGGGAAAAUACAUCUCCCUAAGCCAUAUCUAAACUAAGCAUUUAGUCUUGCAAAAAUAGACCUUGUCGAUCAGGGGGAAGGGGAGGAAGGCAUAGAAGAGUUGGCCUGACGACUGAAGGAGGAAGGCAUCUGAGAUCGCCCCCUUCCCCACUCCUCCUCCGGAGCGGAACUGGAGGCAGCGCCAAUUCUGAUCGGUUGCAAAGAGGUCAACCUGGGGAAUUCCCCACUCUCGAAAGAGGAUUGUGACCUCUGAGUGGAACGAUCACUCGUACUGAACACAUUCCCUGCAGAUCUGACAAAAUGCAAAGAAGGUACUAAUCCGAGAUAGCUACAGCACUCGACCCAAGGUUUAAGAAUCUGAAGUGCCUUCCAAAAUCUCAGAGUGACGAGGUGUGGAGCAUGCUUUCAAAAGUAUUAGAAGAGCAACACUGCGAUGAGGAAACUACUGAACCCGAACCACCAAAAAAGAAAAAUCAACCUGUGCAAGUACUUGUAAUCAAAAAUAAAGUGAGCACUGUACACUUUGUAUUCUAUGUUGUAAUUGAAAUGAAUAUAAUUGAAAAUGUAGAAAACAUCCAAAAAUAUUUAAAUAAAUGAUAUUCUAUUAUUAACAGUGCGAUUAAUCGCAAUUCAUUUUUUAAAUCACGCUAUUAAUCGUGAUUAAUUUUUUUAAUCGCUUGACAGACCUACCCUGGAUCUUUCACCAAGGAGGCAAGCUGAGAACGUGACUUUUCCCCCUGAACAGAAGAUCACAGCCAAGCCUGGCUGUAAAAUGCUGGGAAGACUUUGGGUGUGCAUUGCUCUAUAAGACAAGAAUGUACCUAGUUAAGUAACUCUGGGUUCUAGAAUGUGUGUCAUGAUUCUAUUUUAUAUGUAAUAAUUUUUUUCCAAUACAUCUACAUGUCAUCACUUGAAUCUCUAUACCUUGUUAAAUAAACUUUUAUUUGUUUUCAC